AGAGUUUGAUCCUGGCUCAGAAUCAACGCUGGCGGCGCGCUUAACACAUGCAAGUCGCACGAGAAAGCGGGGGCAACCUCGCAAGUACAGUGGCGUACGGGUGAGUAACACGUGGGUGAUCUACCUCAGAGUGGGGAAUAACGCUGGGAAACCGGCGCUAAUACCGCAUAAGCCUGGUACCGUCGAGGUAUUAGGGAAAGCAGCAAUGCGCUGUGAGAGGAGCCCGCGGCCGAUUAGCUAGUUGGGAGGGUAACGGCCUGCCAAGGCAAAGAUCGGUAGCCGGCCUGAGAGGGCACACGGCCACACUGGCACUGAAACACGGGCCAGACUCCUACGGGAGGCAGCAGUGGGGAAUCUUGCACAAUGGGGGAAACCCUGAUGCAGCGACGCCGCGUGAGCGAUGAAGCCCUUCGGGGUGUAAAGCUCUUUCGGCAGGGACGAUAAUGACGGUACCUGCAGAAGCAGCUGCGGCUAACUACGUGCCAGCAGCCGCGGUAAUACGUAGGCAGCGAGCGUUGUUCGGAGUUACUGGGCGUAAAGGGUGUGUAGGCGGUUCCCUAAGUUUGGUGUGAAAUCUCCCGGCUCAACCGGGAGGGUGCGCCGAAAACUGGGGGACUGGAGUGCGGGAUGGGAGAGUAGAAUUCCUGGUGUAGCGGUGAAAUGCGUAGAUAUCAGGAGGAAUACCAGUGGCGUAGACGGCUCUCUGGACCGCCACUGACGCUGAGACACGAAAGCGUGGGUAGCAAACAGGAUUAGAUACCCUGGUAGUCCACGCCCUAAACGAUGCAUAUUUGGUGUAGGUCAUUCAGUUGAUCUGUGCCGGAGCUAACGCGUUAAAUAUGCCGCCUGGGGAGUACAGUCGCAAGGCUGAAACUCAAAGGAAUUGACGGGGGCCCGCACAAGCGGUGGAGCAUGUGGUUCAAUUCGACGCAACGCGAAGAACCUUACCUGGCUCGAACGGCUGGCUAACGAUCGUGGAAACACGGUUACUCCCGCAAGGAGGUCCAGUCGAGGUGC
rnacentral:rRNA from 1 species